rnacentral:rRNA from 1 species
AAAUUGAAGAGUUUGAUCAUGGCUCAGAUUGAACGCUGGCGGCAGGCCUAACACAUGCAAGUCGAACGGUAACAGAAAGAAGCUUGCUUCUUUGCUGACGAGUGGCGGACGGGUGAGUAAUGUCUGGGAAACUGCCUGAUGGAGGGGGAUAACUACUGGAAACGGUAGCUAAUACCGCAUAACGUCGCAAGACCAAAGAGGGGGACCUUCGGGCCUCUUGCCAUCGGAUGUGCCCAGAUGGGAUUAGCUUGUUGGUGGGGUAACGGCUCACCAAGGCGACGAUCCCUAGCUGGUCUGAGAGGAUGGCCAGCCACACUGGAACUGAGACACGGUCCAGACUCCUACGGGAGGCAGCAGUGGGGAAUAUUGCACAAUGGGCGCAAGCCUGAUGCAGCCAUGCCGCGUGUAUGAAGAAGGCCUUCGGGUUGUAAAGUACUUUCAGCGGGGAGGAAGGGAGUAAAGUUAAUACCUUUGCUCAUUGACGUUACCCGCAGAAGAAGCACCGGCUAACUCCGUGCCAGCAGCCGCGGUAAUACGGAGGGUGCAAGCGUUAAUCGGAAUUACUGGGCGUAAAGCGCACGCAGGCGGUUUGUUAAGUCAGAUGUGAAAUCCCCGGGCUCAACCUGGGAACUGCAUCUGAUACUGGCAAGCUUGAGUCUCGUAGAGGGGGGUAGAAUUCCAGGUGUAGCGGUGAAAUGCGUAGAGAUCUGGAGGAAUACCGGUGGCGAAGGCGGCCCCCUGGACGAAGACUGACGCUCAGGUGCGAAAGCGUGGGGAGCAAACAGGAUUAGAUACCCUGGUAGUCCACGCCGUAAACGAUGUCGACUUGGAGGUUGUGCCCUUGAGGCGUGGCUUCCGGAGCUAACGCGUUAAGUCGACCGCCUGGGGAGUACGGCCGCAAGGUUAAAACUCAAAUGAAUUGACGGGGGCCCGCACAAGCGGUGGAGCAUGUGGUUUAAUUCGAUGCAACGCGAAGAACCUUACCUGGUCUUGACAUCCACGGAAGUUUUCAGAGAUGAGAAUGUGCCUUCGGGAACCGUGAGACAGGUGCUGCAUGGCUGUCGUCAGCUCGUGUUGUGAAAUGUUGGGUUAAGUCCCGCAACGAGCGCAACCCUUAUCCUUUGUUGCCAGCGGUCCGGCCGGGAACUCAAAGGAGACUGCCAGUGAUAAACUGGAGGAAGGUGGGGAUGACGUCAAGUCAUCAUGGCCCUUACGACCAGGGCUACACACGUGCUACAAUGGCGCAUACAAAGAGAAGCGACCUCGCGAGAGCAAGCGGACCUCAUAAAGUGCGUCGUAGUCCGGAUUGGAGUCUGCAACUCGACUCCAUGAAGUCGGAAUCGCUAGUAAUCGUGGAUCAGAAUGCCACGGUGAAUACGUUCCCGGGCCUUGUACACACCGCCCGUCACACCAUGGGAGUGGGUUGCAAAAGAAGUAGGUAGCUUAACCUUCGGGAGGGCGCUUACCACUUUGUGAUUCAUGACUGGGGUGAAGUCGUAACAAGGUAACCGUAGGGGAACCUGCGGUUGGAUCACCUCCUUACCUUAAAGAAGC